rnacentral:rRNA from 1 species
GAUGAACGCUGGCGGCGUGCCUAAUACAUGCAAGUCGAGCGAACAGACGAGGAGCUUGCUCCUCUGACGUUAGCGGCGGACGGGUGAGUAACACGUGGAUAACCUACCUAUAAGACUGGGAUAACUUCGGGAAACCGGAGCUAAUACCGGAUAAUAUAUUGAACCGCAUGGUUCAAUAGUGAAAGACGGUUUUGCUGUCACUUAUAGAUGGAUCCGCACCGCAUUAGCUAGUUGGUAAGGUAACGGCUUACCAAGGCAACGAUGCGUAGCCGACCUGAGAGGGUGAUCGGCCACACUGGAACUGAGACACGGUCCAGACUCCUACGGGAGGCAGCAGUAGGUAAUCUUCCGCAAUGGGCGAAAGCCUGACGGAGCAACGCCGCGUGAGUGAUGAAGGUCUUCGGAUCGUAAAACUCUGUUAUUAGGGAAGAACAAAUGUGUAAGUAACUAUGCACGUCUUGACGGUACCUAAUCAGAAAGCCACGGCUAACUACGUG